GUUGGUGAACCAGCGGAGGGAUCAUUAAAAGAGUCUUAAAAAAACUCCCAAAACCCCUGUGUAUCUUACCCGUGUCGUUGCUUCGGCGGGCCUAACCGCCCGCCGGAGGUACCCAAACUCAAUGUCUUUUUAUAGUGUAUCUCUGAGCAACAAAACAAACAAAGUCAAAACUUUCAACAACGGAUCUCUUGGUUCUGGCAUCGAUGAAGAACGCAGCAUCUGACUGACUCCGGGAUUUCAAAUCUCGUAU
rnacentral:misc_RNA from 1 species